CGAGUAAAGCACUUACUCACUCCUUUGACUCUAUUGUUGGCUUAGCGUUGCCGAACGAGAAGACAGGAAAUUAUCUAAAGAAGAAGUUGUGCUCACAACCGUUGGCUCCUUGGACAGCUGGGACGGAUACAGGCUUGCCCGAUUAUCCGUACUCCUCGUGUCAAAGAUCCCGAUUCGCUAGACUAUUGAUGAAUGUGCUCUCUCACUAUGUUGAAUCCGAUUGAGCUCUUUUGAAAGAGCAGGGAGAACGACCAGAGAUUGGCUCUUAUCUCGAAAGCAAGGGCGGGAGCGUAAGCUGUGAGAUGAACCAAAGCAUCAUAGCAUGAGACAUUACAAGUAGAGGGGAGGCCGGAUGACUCGACCUUAGCCCUCGUCCAAAACCUAGCAAACAGACCGUUGUGAACCAGCGGCAAGAGAUGACAGAAAAGCAGAAGGAUAGCUGACCCGAAUAAGCUGGAAAAGUAUAAGUACGAAUAGAAGCAGCUGGUCAAGUGGAAUGGACUCCCAUCCCAAAGUUGGAAACUCAGCACUAGGGAGAAAGAGGGGGCGUCCCCAUUCAGGGUCAAUCUUCCUUCAAAUGCUUUCGAUAUUUGAGCCGUGUAAAUGUCCUUUCGGGGGGGAAUUGCCUGGGAUAAGUUAAAGUUAAGCCAGUCUACCCUUUCUCCAUUCGAUUAGAUGCGCUAUCCGGUCCAGUCCAGCGGCAUUUCAGGAGUUUCUUCAUUUCUUUGGGGACAAUAUAGACUUCCUUUUCUCUCGAUUCUCGGAUGUGGCCAAGGGGGGGAACUAGCAAGCGAAGCAAGAAGGAAAGAUGGGGGUUCAGUUCACGUAAAUCCUAACGCGCUUAAUAGAUUUCGCUUCUUCGGUCAAAUCUAAAGUUAGCGGGAAAGAAAGGGAGUAUUAGCAAGCAAUACAAUAAGAUAAGGGAGCCCAUAAAUAGGUAAUCAUAAUAUCUUAUAAAUAAGUCAUCAUAAUAUCUUAUUCAUCUGUGCGAUGCAAUAGAAUCAUAAGAGUUGCGGCUCUAAGUGCUCUUAAAUUACUAGAUGAUAUGUAUGCACAUCCGUUUCAUUAAUCUUUCUGUUUUACUUUCCUCUUCCUCGGCGCAAGAAAUCCAGCAAGUACCAUAGCUUAGAGUUAGGCAAAUAAGUCACCUCACGUCACGGCUGAUGCAAGUAUUAUUAAAGGAAGCAGUUGGGCGUGCUAACGUUAGUAUACCGAUCUUAUUAAAGGAAGGAAGUCGUUGGGCGUGUGAUAGUUUUUGUAGUCAUAGGUGUUUUGCUCAUCUAUUAUAUUAGUUGUGUUUGUCAUUCUUUUCUUCAAUGAAACAAGUAGUUGUGCUUUCCAUUCUUUCUUUCGAGAUUCGGUGUUUUGGAGUAAGGCUUCUAUUCAAGGGGUGAGUCAAGUCAAUAGGGUAGAAAGUCAUAAGGAUAAAGAGGGUGUUUUAAAGAAGUCAAGUCAAAAAGGUAGAAGGCUGGAACCUUACCUGCUGGCUGGCUCUGGCUCUGCUCUAUCUGCUUACUGAAACUCACUUAUGGAAUGAAAGUAAGCGGGAAAGAAAUCGGGGUUAAGGGAAUCAUAUCUUACUGGUGAAGUUUUGAAGCUCUGCUCUACUCCGUUAUCGCAACAGUCACUCACUGGCGCACAAGUCAAAGCAAGGAUAGCAAUGCAAGUCUCAAGUCUGGUAGAUGCUCGUAGAUGCUCCAUCCAGAAAGGGCAAGUCCGGUUUGUUUUGAUACCACCAAGCAACAUAGUACAAAGGGCCAAGCAACGACUAACCAAGCAACGUUGUAAGUAGCGCAGCGAGUUAUGAGCAAAGCAAGUCCUGUUGCGGAUUUCUAGCUUGCUGCUGAAGAAGGAAUUUCUUCUUACCGGAACUCUGACUCUUACACUGUCCUCAGACUUAAUUGAAUCUGGCCUGAACUAUGACUCGGAGCUUGAAGUUAAGGAAUCGAUUGUUCCUAAUUACUAUACUGCUGAUUCUUGAGUCGACUCCACUCGAACUUUACUUUCUUUCCUUCCUGCCUCAAAGAAGCCAGUCAUUUAUUAUCGAGCACAAAGUAUAGAAAGAAAUAUGUUACCUUGCUCCCUCGCCUUAUCCAUCUUAUUCUCUGGUAGACUUUCCUUGCAACCCAUCUUUCGAGCACACAAGCACUUCCUGAGGGCUUUCAAGUAAGGGGCACAUUAAGUAUAUAGCUUUUUCGUUGUUUAAGCGAUGGGUAAAUCUGCUAAUGGGAAAUAAAUGACCUAUGUUGCCCCACUAGAAGCUCUUUGAAAGCAUAUUUCACUAUGAAGAUAGCCCUCCCCUGUGCUCGUCGUCAACACAAUCCACUCUCCUUUUUGACUAAUAUGUAAGGGAAACACCUUACUUUAGAACUGUUGAUGAUCUUGUCGACUUUCAUUUACCUCUUCCUCUCGUUCGUAACAAAACCACUGAAAUUACUGCUUCUUUAUUAUACUUAACCUUGAUAUUGAACUCGCACUCAGUAUAGGAUUACUUGCGCACUGCUUCUUAUCUAACCACAAAAGUCAGAAUGGAACUGAACCCGGAGAAACAGAGUCAUUCUCCAUGAUAGGGGUCUAUCUAAUAGAAUAAGUCACUAACCGGCGGGCUCUUAUUCUCGCCAACCAAGCCUAGUGCUCCUUCUUGCCCAACCCUCUCUCUUUUUCUUUCUUGCCGUAUAUAAAAGACGAAUAUUGUUAGUAAUCUGACACUUACCUCGAUUCUAUUAUACCUUAUGGCUGCUGACUUAAGCUAUGAAGAAGCACCCAAAGAUACUGGCAAUACUGAACUUAUAAGAUACUGGCAAUACUGAACUUAACGCUUCAGAAGGAAUUGAUGAAUCAGCUUUCUAAUUAGUAGGAACAGGAUCUCCGUAAGCUGAUACGAAAUCCAUACUUGUUCCGGCGCAAAGUAUACAAGUACGGUUGACUUUGUGUUGUCUACUAGUGGAGUUAGAGUCGAAUCGACAAGAGAAGAGAAUCCUAAUUAUCAGUGCAAAAGUCGGGUGUUGAAGCGCUAAAUGGUCCAGUCCAAGUCCAAGUAUUAAUAAAGGUGUAAGAAGGUAAGCCUUCUGAGGCAGUGUUGUCUCCAAUAAAAGCCUAUAUAUAUCUAUAGUUUGUUCAAGCCUUAAGAGAAACUACAGGAUCCGAGGCAGUGAUAGGAAAUUCCGUAUCUGUAUCAAAGUAAGGGUCAGCAUCGGAAGCAGUAUAAAGAAAAGAAGCAGUGUUGUCUCCAGGAAAGUAUCCAAGAGAAGAGGCCAUUGACGUAGAGGUUCGAAUGUAGUCUACGAGAUCAUAAGAAGGAGCGGGAGAACAUGAUUUGAAGCUUCAGAUUGAAAGUCCGUAAGUAUACGAUAGAAUCCGCCGUUAAGUAAGCGGUAAGCGAGGCAGGAAGGAAUGUUUAGUUCUCAUCGCUACUAAGCACUUUUCGAAACUGUGCCCUAAGGAUCAGAAAAAGUGUUUUAAUAAGCGCCCUAAGGAUCUGAAGUAGUUUCAUAAGCUCGCUCCUCAACGCUAGAAAAAAGCACUUGCACAUGGCAGCUGCCUAACGCCGAUGAACAAAGGACGAAGCAAUAGUACCCAGAUAAAGCAGAAACUGGAUCAGGUAAGUAAGCAUAAGCUGUGAAUAAGGCCCAAUACCAAGAUAAAGUAAGUCAGCUGCAAUUCUUUACGAGAGAGGUGAUUCUUCUGCGCUCAAAUCUUGGCCGGCUCUGCUUGUUAGAUAGAAGAGAGAAAUCUUAUAUGCUUGACCUUGACGGCGCUGCAAUCAAGUGAAAUUAUUUAUUGACUUUCUAUUUGUGCAAAAAAGAUGAAAUUAGAUAGUGGAGUUUGCCAGAGCAAGAACCAGAAAAAUAGCAAGCGGGUAAUCUUCACUGACAAAGAAAAGAAGCAAGUAUUGUAUAGAAGCGGGGUAAUCAGUCAGAGUAAGAGAUGGAUUCCAUUCAGAAUUAGGACAGUACUUG
rnacentral:lncRNA from 1 species